rnacentral:tRNA from 1 species
GGGCCCGUAGCUCAACGGCAGAGCAUCCGGCUCAUAACCGGCGGGUUUCAGGUUCGAAUCCUGACGGGCCCA